AUAACCAUGUAAACAUGGGAUAAUGGAAUAGGACCCUGUCCUCCUAUUUUCAGUUGGUUUUGGCAGCGCGAGGACUAGGGUAAUGAUUAAUAGGGAUAGUUGGGGGCAUUAAUAUUUAAUUGUCAGAGGUGAAAUUCUUGGAUUUAUGAAAGAUUAACUUCUGCGAAAGCAUCUGCCAAGGAUGUUUUCAUUAAUCAAGAACGAAAGUUAGGGGAUCGAAGACGAUCAGAUACCGUCGUAGUCUUAACCAUAAACGAUGCCGACCAGCGAUUAGGAGACGUUGAAUACAAAACACCACCAUCGGUGCGGUCGUCCUUGGCGUCGGUUUCGGCCGGCGCGGGGGCGGCUUAGCCCGGUGGCACCGGUGAAUGACUCCCCUAGCAGCUUGUGAG
rnacentral:rRNA from 1 species